AUUUUUUUUUUCAAACUUCCACCGUAAAAAAGAAAGAAAAAAAAACAUGGAAAAAAAUCUUAACCUAACCUGCCAUAAAGAAAAAUUCUUUCAUUUCUCUUUGAUCUCGCUCUCUAUUUCUCUUUUAUACGCGGCCUUCUUCGCUCUUUAUGUUAUGCUUUUCCCUAUUUAACUCAUGAUCUUUUUUUUUAAAUCAUUUGUUAAUGCUUUCUUUUAUAGGCUUUGGUAUGGCUUGGGAUAUGAUGAUUUUGAACACGGGAAAAAAACCAUUCAAACAUUUUUGUUUCAAAAUUUUAGGGAGAAAAACAGAAUCGAAAAGGAUUUUAGAUGCUCAUGAAUAAGCCCUCCAGAUUCUACCCUAUGCGGAAGAACUACUUUAAUCAGUAUGUUGUUGUGUUUGUAGCAGUUUCGUGAUAGUAAGCUCAAAAAGCCUAAACUAUGAUCUCAGCAUACGAAGUCCAUUAAAUUGUCAUUCAAUUGUUGUUGAAUACCAUAGAGAUAGUAAAUUAACGUCACGAAGAAAGAAAAAAAGCAUAUCUUAUUGGUGCCACUUCACCAAGCCUUGGUGCAAAACUUAAUUUAAUGAGUUGUUGGAAUCUUGCAACAAUUAAUAGCACGUUCGAUGUAUCAAAAUAAUAUGUAAAGAACUGAAUCAAAACAACUUUACCGGAACAAUUUGAUGAGGGAAGAAUCAGUGAUUCAACAAGUUGUCGUUAACAAAUUAGUUCGCGGGUAUACUCGAGAUGAGUAAUGCUAAACCCCUCCCAACGAAGAUCUGUCCAGGAUAAGACUGUCCGAUAUAGCUUGAAUUAGCACAAUGCAAGUUACCCACUCAUGAACUUAGCAACAGGGAUAGGAAGUGAACACGCCGCGGGAAAAAAAGCAAGAAGAAGAUUAAAAAAAGACUAAAAAGUAGUCACUUCUUGUGUAUAUAGAAAACAGAUUCGAGUGGUAUUUAUAGGAGAAGAUACUUGUAA